UAGUGAUCCGGUGGUUCUGAAUGGAAGGGCCAUCGCUCAACGGAUAAAAGGUACUCCGGGGAUAACAGGCUGAUACCGCCCAAGAGUUCAUAUCGACGGCGGUGUUUGGCACCUCGAUGUCGGCUCAUCACAUCCUGGGGCUGAAGUAGGUCCCAAGGGUAUGGCUGUUCGCCAUUUAAAGUGGUACGCGAGCUGGGUUUAGAACGUCGUGAGACAGUUCGGUCCCUAUCUGCCGUGGGCGUUGGAAGAUUGAGAGGGGCUGCUCCUAGUACGAGAGGACCGGAGUGGACGCAUCACUGGUGUUCGGGUUGUCAUGCCAAUGGCAUUGCCCGGUAGCUAAAUGCGGAAAAGAUAAGCGCUGAAAGCAUCUAAGCGCGAAACUUGCCUCGAGAUGAGUCUUCCCUGAGACCUUGAGUCUCCUAAAGGAACGUUUAAGACUAAGACGUUGAUAGGCUGGGUGUGUAAGCGUAGCGAUACGUUGAGCUAACCAGUACUAAUGAUCCGUGAGGCUUAACCUUACAACACCGAAGGUGUUU
rnacentral:rRNA from 1 species